rnacentral:rRNA from 1 species
AUUGAACGCUGGCGGCAGGCCUAACACAUGCAAGUCGAGCGGAUGACGGGAGAUUGCUCCUUGAUUCAGCGGCGGACGGGUGAGUAAUGCCUAGGAAUCUGCCUGGUAGUGGGGGACAACGUUUCGAAAGGAACGCUAAUACCGCAUACGUCCUACGGGAGAAAGCAGGGGACCUUCGGGCCUUGCGCUAUCAGAUGAGCCUAGGUCGGAUUAGCUAGUUGGUGGGGUAAUGGCCCACCAAGGCGACGUUCCGUAACUGGUCUGAGAGGAUGAUCAGUCACACUGGCACUGAGACACGGACCAGACUCCUGCGGGAGGCAGCAGUGGGGAAUAUUGGACAAUGGGCGAAAGCCCGAUCCAGCCAUGCCGCGUGUGUGAAGAAGGUCUUCGGAUUGUAAAGCACUUUAAGUUGGGAGGAAGGGCAGUAAGCUAAUACCUUGCUGUUUUGACGUUACCGACAGAAUAAGCACCGGCUAACUCUGUGCCAGCCGCCGCGGUAA